rnacentral:tRNA from 1 species
GGGCCUGUAGCUCAGAGGAUUAGAGCACGUGGUUACGAACCACGGUGUCGAGGGUUCGAAUCCCUCCUCGCCCA